UGGAGCAAAACUCAAAAAAAUAAGUCUCAGUUCGGAUUGAAGGCUGAAAUUCGCCUUCAUGAAGCCGGAAUUGCUAGUAAUGGCAGGUCAGCAUACUGCCGUGAAUACGUUCCCGGGCCUUGUACACACCGCCCGUCACACCAUGAGAGUUGGGAAUACCCGAAGCCUGUGAGCUAACUUUUAGAGGCAGCAGUCGAAGGUAGAAUCAAUGAUUGGGGUGAAGUCGUAACAAGGUACC
rnacentral:rRNA from 1 species